rnacentral:rRNA from 1 species
CCUACGGGAGGCAGCAGUGGGGAAUUUUGGACAAUGGGCGCAAGCCUGAUCCAGCAAUGCCGCGUGAGUGAAGAAGGCCUUCGGGUUGUAAAGCUCUUUUGUCAGGGAAGAAACGGUGAAGGCUAAUAUCUUUUGCUAAUGACGGUACCUGAAGAAUAAGCACCGGCUAACUACGUGCCAGCAGCCGCGGUAAUACGUAGGGUGCAAGCGUUAAUCGGAAUUACUGGGCGUAAAGCGUGCGCAGGCGGUUUUGUAAGUUUGUCGUGAAAUCCCCGGGCUCAACCUGGGAAUGGCGAUGAAGACUGCAAGGCUAGAAUCUGGCAGAGGGGGGUAGAAUUCCACGUGUAGCAGUGAAAUGCGUAGAGAUGUGGAGGAACACCGAUGGCGAAGGCAGCCCCCUGGGUCAAGAUUGACGCUCAUGCACGAAAGCGUGGGGAGCAAACAGGAUUAGAUACCCUGGUAGUCCACGCCCUAAACGAUGUCUACUAGUUGUCGGGUUUUAAUAACUUGGUAACGUAGCUAACGCGUGAAGUAGACCGCCUGGGGAUACGGUCGCAAGNUUAAAACUCAAAUGAAUUGACCGGNNGAGAGNGCGAGACGACGACGAGGGAGGAGG